AAAAUUUUAAUGGCCGCAGUAUUUUGACUGUGCAAAGGUAGCAUAAUCAUUAGUUUCUUAAUUAGAAACUGGAAUGAAAGGUUGGACGAAAAAAUAACUGUCUCUUUAUAAAUUUUUAGAAUUUUAUUUUUAAGUUAAAAAGCUUAAAUUAAUUUAAAAGACGAGAAGACCCUAUAGAGUUUUAUUAAAUUUGUUAUAUUAUUUUUUGUAGAAAUUUUAUAUUUUUAUAAUAAAUUUAAUUUGAUUGGGGUGAUUAAAAAAUUUAAUAAACUUUUUUUAAAAAAAAACAUUUAUUUAUGAAUAAAUGAUCCAUAAAUAAUUAUGAUUAUAAGAUUAAAUUACCUUAGGGAUAACAGCGUAAUUUCUUUUUAGAGUUCAAAUCGAUAAAGAAGUUUGCGACCUCGAUGUUGGAUUAAAAAAAAUUAUUGGUGUAGAAGCUAAUAAAUUAGGUCUGUUCGACCUUUAAAAUUUUACAUGAUCUGAGUUUAAACCGGUGUAAGCCAGGUUGGUUUCUAUCUUUAAAAAUAUUUAAUAUUUUAGUACGAAAGGACCAAAUAUUAUAAAAAUUUUAUUUAUAUUGAAUAUUAAUAAU
rnacentral:rRNA from 1 species